CAACUGGCAACUUCGCGCCAGUACCCGCCCGACAACGGGCCGCAGCGAACGCGCGCGACGCGUCAUUUCAUCUAUUUUUAGUGCUAAACGCUGUGAAAAUACCGCGGUAAAAGAUUUGUGUAGCAUUUGUUGAAUAAAAUGAUUGAAAUAAUCGAUUUUGUUUAGUUAAAAUCGUAGUUAUUAUUGCUUAUGUGAACGUUUUGCAAUCGGACGCUUGUUUCGACGCGGGCUUGAAGAAGGACAUUCGUACAUUGUAAUAUUUUUAUUUUUCGCGUUCAAUAUCUCUGUAUGCUGUGUUUUGUCCUAUUACAAAAAUAAAAGUGAUGAUUCUGUGUUUUGUGGGAGUAAAAUCUUAACCGCAAGACAUCAUUUUACGAGCCCAACCUGUCAAAACUCCCGCCAAAAUGAACUGUCAAACGCACCACAGCUUAUAAAAACCAACCGAGCGACAGAUUAAAAAGAGAUUCAGCCAAAGAGUUCGUAUGACGGGAAUUUUUUAACAAUGAUUUCGAGAAAAUUAUAAUAAAUUUGGAAGUUAUUGAAGUGGGUAUUGUAUUGGCAAGAUGGCGACGCCACCUGAGUCUCCUGUUGAGGAGCAUGCUUAUGAGUUGGAGCCCAGUAGGACUCCGAAGCCGGUUCCUGUCGCCUUGGAGGAGUUGUGUCGGCAGACCAAGUUUUCUAAACAGGAGAUCCGUGUCAUGUAUAGAGGGUUUAAAACGGAGUGUCCAGAAGGUGUCGUGCAAGAAGAGUCGUUUAAGGACAUCUACGCGAAGUUCUUUCCUCAUGGAAAUUCGGCGCUGUAUGCCCACUAUGUGUUCAAAGCGUUCGAUGUCAACUGCAGUGGUGCUAUCAGUUUCAGAGAACUCCUGGUGACUCUUUCCACCUUGCUCCGAGGGUCUGUCUACGAGCGUCUCCGUUGGGCCUUCCGUCUGUACGACGUGGAUGGUGAUGGGGCGAUCACCAGGCAGGAGUUGGCGGAGGUGGUGGUGGCUGUGCAUGAGCUGCUCGGAAGGCGGGCUCCACCAGGGUCUCCGGCCGCCAGGCUUGAUGAUGCUAAGGCUAAUGAACAGGUGGAUCGUGUAUUCAGGAAGCUGGACCUGAACCAGGACGGAGUGAUCACGAUCGAGGAGUUCCUGGAGUCAUGCCUGAAGGAUGACGUCAUAACUCGGUCGCUGCAGAUGUUCGACACCGCCCUAUGACGGCAGAGUGACGCAGCGCAUGCACCUCUACCCGCCAGGACCGUAGCGAAGCGUCGCAGCGUGCGGACGGCGCACCGGCGCUGCCAGUGCGCGCGGGAGGCGGGCCUGCUCCGCGCGGCCGCCGCGUGGCUGCGCGGGCGCCGCUACGCGCACUACCUCGCCGCCCUCGACGACUUCUACAGCCGAGUCGUGCGACCCCGACUAAGAAGCGUGCUGCUGCUACAUUUUUAGCCGCUGAACCAUUGGAGUCUUUUAAUGAACGUUUUUGUAAGGAUUUCGACUCCUUCCCCAUUUUAGUUUUUCGUCAACUUAUGGUUAUUUUUUUUUUUUUUUGAUGGGUUAAAAUCAUCCAAUGACUUCUCCCGCCUUGGGCGAGGCGAGAGGGAGUGUCAGACUCUUACUGACUAAAAACCACCCCGUUCCUUCUCCUGCUUUUCGAGCCGGAGCCAACGAAGUCAACUUAUGAUAGCUAAUCAAUGACAGGUUUAGAUAGGAGUGGUUGGUCAACACCAUGCCUUGAGUUUAUCCAAUCCUACUGACGGUAGCGAGAUUUCUUCUCCUUACUUACACAGUGGUAUCGCCAUUAUUCACACCUGAGUCUUCUCAACGUCCCCAGCUGAGGGCGUGAGGUCGCGCGAUCCAGGCCAAUGCCUUUCUCGGCGGUAUCAAGUCGCUGUCUGCUACUGCAAGCGAGAAGGGUUGGAGUAGGCGAGCUUCUUGUGGAGCCUGAUGUGGUGUAAUGUGUGGUGGUUUUGCGUCGCUGAGGGCCGCGCUCAAGCCGGUACAGGCCCGGUGAGCAGCAGGCUGUUAGCGGCGCGUGGUCUAGUCCAGCAGGCAGUCAGACUCUUACUGACUAAAAACCACCCCGUUCCUACUCCUGCUUUUCAAACCAGAGCCCCGCUAAACCUGCUAGGUAGUCCGCAACUCUGGAUCCGGUGCGCGCGGAACGCGACCCCCAGAGUGUCUCUCGCAAUGGUUGGGGCGUGAGGUUUGUUCCCUCACGCGGCCCUGAAGGAAUGUGGCAUCAGAAUUUGUAUAAAGUCACCGAGCACUCGAAAUAGCCCAGCCCCAGAGAAUGCAAAAGGAAGUUAUAUCAAGCCUAUAAGUGGCCACUGCUGACCAAAGGCCUCUUCUCACACGGAGAAGGUUUGAGCAUUAAUCAUCACGCUUGCUCAAUGCGGGUUGGCGAUUUCAAACUUAUAAUUAGAAAUUAUAAGCCCAGGUUUCCUCACGAUGUUUUCCUUCACCGUUUGUCAAUGGUGUCUAAAUUAACUUAGAAAGUACAUAUAACUCGAAAAAAGUCACAUUGGUACUUGCCGUUGGUUUCUUUCUGAUUUAGAGAUUUUUGUUUAAUUUUUCAUUCAACAUCAUAUAAUUUUCGUGAGACAUACUAAAUUAAUUAUGAUGCUAUCGGCAGAAGCAAGUCAUGAGUAGUAUUUCACGACGAAGCCUGGCUUGCUAGCAUGGCUUGAAACUAGUCGAGUUCCUCGUCAAACAGUUACGUGAGUAAGCCGAUAACAUAAUAAUUAAUUUUAGAGAAUUUUAUUUAUAGUUUUAGUUAAAAAUGGAGUCGAAUCCUAUCAAAAAUAUUAUGAUUUUAUGGGAAGUUAUUCGGAUUACUAUUAUUAAACCUAUUGUCCUAAGCGUUUCGUAGCAAAUUUAAAAAACAUUGAUCCUUAGAUAAAACAAAAAAUUAAAGACCGACAUAGCAUUAUCUAGGUAACAAGAAAGUACUAGAAUAAAAUAAAUACUUUUUGCUGUUAUCCUUUUUUAGUCUGCAUUCGCCUACUCUAUGGUUCGGUUUGUUCUAUUUUUGAAAAAAAAGAAAAAAGUACUAUUGUCCAUGGUUGUGUAACCAAUUUUUUUUUUCGAUUUUUUUUUUAAAUUUAUUUUUUAAAAUCUAAGCAACAGGGUAAAAUGCCGCUCCCAUGGUGAACUUAUAACAUCUGGAUAAUUAUAAUUUUGAAACUUGUUACAUAAAGAAAAGAAAAAAUAAAACAAAUUUUGGAUAUGCUUACCAGAUUGAUAAUAACUGAUAUUUUUCGAAAACAAUCUUAUUUAUUUCUAACUGCCGUACUCAGAGUCAUUUAAUGAUUACUUAACCCAGUCCUUUUUUUUGAGAGGGGAAAAUCAUCCAAUGACUUCUCCCGCCUUGAGCGAGGCGAGAGGGAGUGUCAAACUCUUACUGACUAAAAACCACCCCGCUUUUCGAGCCGGAGCCCCGGUAAACCCGCUGUGUAGUCAGCAGCACCGGAUUAGCGACUGUUUUCGAUACAAAAUCAUUACUAAGGAAUAGUUUAAGUAAUCAUUAAAUAUCUCUGAGUGCGGCAGUAAGAUUCCUUUUUGGCUUUUUUGGUCCAAUUUUAUCGUGUUUUAUAAAAAGGUCUUUGAUGAGCUUAGACCAUCCUUUUGAGCAGUCACUUUACAAAUUAUAUUUAUUUCACUAUUUCUCACUUGUAUUCAUUAAUAGGGAUGAUGACGGGGUAUGAAAAUUAAAAAUCUAUUUAGUCCGUCAGUUAGGUAAUGAAAAAAUAUUAGACACGUAUUGUUUUAUUUUGUCAUAUAAGAUAACAAUACUUAGAUAAAACGAAUCAAAGUUUAGGAGAGGGAGCAAAUACGUCAUUUCUACGUAUAAAACGUACCUAGAAGUGACGUUACGCGAUAUUUCAAAUCGAUAUAUCUUCGAAAGUAUUUGUUUCCGUAAGAAAAUAAAAAAUACGUGUGUAAUGUUUUAAAAUAAUCUACAAGACGGACGUUAAAAUAAAAAUUUGUCAUCUACCCUAUUUCCAUACUUUACAGACUAAUUUUUUUCUGCUUAUAAAUAACAACUUACAGAAUUGAAUUAAGGAAUUGAGAAAUUAUACGUACUUAAUAUUAUUUGUUUUUAAACCAUCCUAAAGCUAUAGUCUCGACAAAAUUAUCGAUUUUUUUUUCGAUAUUCUAUCGUUAUGGAUGUCGAUACUUCCUUUUUUUGAUCAAUGCCAAAAAAUAUCGAUUUUUUCCAUAUUUUGUCGUUAAAGAUGUCGAGACAUCCUUUUAAUUUGUUUUUUCUCAUGCCAAUAAUGCAAAAUUCACACAUAAGCUUAUUGCUCUGAUAUUUUGAACAAAUGUUAUUCAAUUUAUUGUAAAGUUUAAGAAUAAUUUUAAAAAUAACUUGUCAAGCAAUCGUCUAUCAUAUCAGUACCUUAAUUUUAAACUUUCAUUUUAGUAAUAAAUUAUUAUUUUAGUCAAACAAUUUCAUUGUAAGCUUUUGCAUUUAUUUUCGAAGUUAGCAUUUUAGAAUAACCUGUAGAUUUGUCUAGAAAAUUUUAUUUUUAACUAGAUUUUUUUGUUUAUAGCAACCAAUACUGGAAUUGCAUACUUUUAAAACUAGUAAUUAAAGUAAGGAUAAUCCUGACACGUAUUGAUCAUAGUUCCCAUACCUAUAUCGUUGAAUUAAUAUUAGAUUUCAAAAUAAUUAUUACUUUAAACAUUUUUUAUUGCAUGCUAUUGUAUUUUGUCUCUGUCUUUCAUGAAUAAUUUACAUUUGUGUGACAGAGACAGAGGUAAAAUAGAAAUAAGAAGAUCUGUUAGGCUAUAAUGCAACUGUCUAUUUGAACUUUCAAUACGAGCUCGAUUACAUUCUCACCCGUCAUUCGUCAAGAUAAUUCUAACAACCAAUGAUGUGGUGUACCGAUGCGAUCAAGUUCAUUUCAAUCUUUCAAAUUGAAAGUAAAAGAAUAACCUAGCUGAUAUCUAAAAGUGUUGAUUGGUCUGCAUUUAGAUCUAGAUGGCGUUGCUGUCUUAAGAGUAUUAACUUAUUUUGUGUUCUAUUUACAACCAUUACAACCAACCGAGUUUUUGGCAGAUUAAAACAGAUGAGAAAACAAAGAUUGAUUCAAUACCCUUAGUACAAGUUUGCUUUACGUUGAACGAAAACGACAGAGAACGUGUACAGCACUGUAAUUAGCUGGCGCAGAUGAACCAACCAAUCAGACCGCUGAACGCGCUCUCGUUUUGUUCUCGUUCAACGUAAAGCAAACUCGUACUAAGAGUACUCGUACUCGUACAGAGAUAGUAUGGCUGUAUGAUAGACGGCUUCUUUGACCCUUCGUGUGACGGAACGCACAUUCGAAGAGACACAAUGUGUUUUCUAUUGUUGUCUUACAUACAAGAUAUUAAAAAAACUUACCACAAACAACUUGACUAGCUGUACGUAAAGUGAAGUUACGUGAAAAUUUAACUCUAUCGCCUUUUGAAUACGAUACAUUAUUUUAACAAACCCUUUUUCAUAGAAAGAGACAAAUCCUAAUACUCCAUGCAAAAAAAAUGUUUAAAAGUAACAACUAUUUCUGAAUACAAGCAUGAUUUAGUUACAAAAGGUUAAACAGUCGGAUAGUCGACUAAAUUAAGUCGUUGAAGUAAUUCGUAGUCUAAAUAUAAAAGCCAUUUUGUCUAGUCAUCAGUUUUUUAGAUUCAGGCCACUGUUGAAAUAGUAAUAAACUCAGAUACUGGGCUGGUAGUCUCGAUAUAGAUAGCGAAAGAGAUCUGUCGAUAAGUCGUGAAGAUUUUUAACACGUUUAUGGUAAGCGUCCACAGGCCCGCAUCGCCCGCAUCGCACGCAUUCCGUAUGACGUCAUCAGUACGCAUCGCAUGUAGGCAUUGCCGAUGAUGCGGUCCGUACGAUGCGGAUCAGUGGACGCAGUUGUAUGAGUUUCUAUACAAGACAAACUAAAAUCCGUUGCGUGCGAUGCGUACGAUGCGGGCCUGUGGACGCUUAUCUUAAUACAUAACGUAGGUGUUAUAUAAUUGACAGUGUUGUAUGUUUUUAAAUAAAUUAUGGAAAAUAAACGAUGUAAGAAGAA